ensembl:snRNA U6 U6 spliceosomal RNA
GUGCCUGCUUCAGCAGCACAUAUCGUAAAGUUGGAUGGAUACAGAGAAGAUAGCAUGGCCUCUGUGCAAGGAUGACAUGCAAAUUCGUGAAGAGUUCCAUAUUUUU